CAAUACAACAGACACAUUCUUUUCUCUCUUCUUUUUCUUGUUUUCUUUUUUUCGCGUCAGAACACCUGCAACGCACCGCCCGCUUUGUCGUACCAGAAAAUAACUAAUUUUGAUGCCGCGGUGCAUAGAAAAGAGAAAAUGGGAGUGCUGGUACCCGACAGGAGGCGUUAUUUAUAGUGCCGCCUGGAUGUGCCGUGUGUGUGUGUGUGUGUGUCCUCUGAGGGUGAUUUCGUGUUGUUUCUUAUUCGUCCCUGUUCUCAAUGACGCUUUCGGCUCACAACAUCUGCUUCCAAGGGUCAAAAAGGAGGUUAGUCGAGUUAUCAUGAGAGCCUUCACGUUCAGGGUUCAGAGGCCUUGACAAACUACCACUAGGUUCAUACAGCUACUACCCACAACCUCAAUGAAAGCCUUAUUGUAUAUCUGUGUGUGUGUGUGUGUGUGUGUGUGUGUGUGUGUGUGUUUGAAAAUGAUAAGUAAACGAUAAAAAAAACGAGAGAAAAACACCCUCUAUCAAAGCCUUAUCAGAUGUCGGUGUCAAUGCCCUGAAAAUCCGUACGACUCUUUGGCAGAAUUAACGAGAAUUAAACGAGGGAAAAACGAGAGAAAACACGCAUUGGGCGAAACUGAGUGAAAUAUUAUAAAAAAAAAAAAAAAAAUGAAAAUGAUUAGUCAACUAAGUGAGGAUCUAAAGUGCGAGGGAACAGCUGUGCAAAAAGUCGAGGGAAUGUGAAUACAGCUGAUUGGGAAGGGCGAACGUGGCAGACUUGUGUACCGGGGUGUGUUCGGCGAUAAGGAGGCGCCAUGGAGGGAAGGAAAAGGUUAAAACAUGAGAUAGAGAACUUGAGAAUGGAGAAAUUAGUGGAAAUAUGAAUGCAGCUGAUGGGAAGGGCGAACGUGGCGAACUUGUGUACCGGGGUGUGUUCGGCGAUAAGAAGGUGCCAUGGAGGGAAGGGAAAGGUUAAAACAUGAGAUAGAGAACUUGAGAAUGGAGAAAUUAGUGGAAAUAUGAAUGCAGCUGAUGGGAAGGGCGAACGUGGCGAACUUGUGUACCGGGGUGUGUUCGGCGCUGCGUAAGGCCAUAAGGAGCUGGCAGGAGGGAAGGGAAAGGUUAAUACAUGAGAUAGAGAACUUGAGAAUGGAGAAAUUAGUGGAAAUAUGAAUACAGCUGAAUGGGAAGGGCGAACCUGGCAAACUUGUGUACCGGGGUGUGUUCGGCGAUAAGAAGGUGCCAUGGAGGGAAGGGAAAGGUUAAAACAUGAGAUAGAGAACUUGAGAAUGGAGGAAUUAGUGGAAAUAUGAAUACUGCUAAUUGGGCAGAGGCGAAAAAGAGGUGGGAUGAGAUAGAGAAGUGAAAAUAGAAGGAAAGGAAAUUAAGACGAGGGUGCGUGGAGACAUGAUCGAGGUUUAUAAAUGGAUGAAGGGCUUUAAUAAGGGAGACAUUCAUAAGGUUUUGUUGGUAAGAGAACCGGGUAGGACACGAAGUAACGGGUUUAAACUGGAUAAAUUCAGAUUCAACAGGGACAUAGGCAAAAAUUGGUUUACUAACAGGGUGGUGGAUGAGUGGAAUAGGCUUAGCAGUCAUGUGGUGAGUGCCAAUACAAUUGUCACAUUCAAAAAUAGACUAGAUAAAUUCAUGGACAGCGAUAUUAGGUGGGGUUAGAUACACGGGAGCUUAGGGUCAAAGGAUCUGCCUUGUACAGGCCUACCGGCCUCUUGCAGACUCCUGCGUUCUUAUGUUUCUUAUAAAUACAUGAGAGAAAUAUAUGUAAAAAAUAUGUGUAUUGUAACAUCGAUGAAAAUUAAUGAAUAAGUGAAGGAAAACAAACGCUGAAUGCAUGAAAUAGAGAGGAGUGAAGGAAGUAAAAGGGAAGGAAGUAGGCCUUUGUACGUGGGAGAAGGAACGAUGAAUGCAUGAAAUAGAGAGAAGUGAAGGAAAUAAAAGGGAAGGAAGUAGGCCUAUGUACGUGGGAGAAGGAACGAUGAAUGUGUGAAAUAGAGAGAAGUGAAGGAAAUAAAAGGGAAGGAAGUAGGCCUAUGUACGUGGGAGAAGGAACGAUGAAUGCAUGAAAUAGAGAGAAGUGAAGGAAAUAAAAGGGAAGGAAGUAGGCCUAUGUACGUGGGAGAAGGAACGAUGAAUGCAUGAAAUAGAGAGAA